CCCCUAGAUGUUCUGGGCCGCACGCGCGCUACACUGAACAGUUCAACAAGUCUUAACCUUGGCCGAUAGGUCUGGGUAAUCUUUGAACGCUGUUCGUGAUUGGGAUAGACCUUUGCAAUUAUGGGUCUUCAACGAGGAAUUCCUAGUAAACGCAAGUCAUCAGCUUGCAUUGAUUACGUCCCUGCCCUUUGUACACACCGCCCGUCGCACCUACCGAUUGAAUGGUCCGGUGAAAUCUCGGGACGGCGGCUCGGUCGCUUGCGUCCGACUGCUGAAACUUGAUUAAACCACAUCAUUUAGAGGAAGGUGAAGUCGUAACA
rnacentral:rRNA from 1 species